GAUGAAGAACGCAGCGAAAUGCGAUACGUAAUGUGAAUUGCAGAAUUCAGUGAAUCAUCGAAUCUUUGAACGCAUAUUGCGCUCUCUGGUAUUCCGGAGAGCAUGCUUGUUUGAGUAUCAGUAAACACCUCAACUCCCUUUUCUUUUUUGAAAUUGGAGCUGGACUUGAGUGAUCCCAACGCUUUCUUCCAAGAAAGUGGCGGGUUGCUUGAAUUGCAGGUGCAGCUGAACUUUUCUCUGAGCUAUAAGCAUAUCUAUUUAGUCUGCCUAAAAAACAGAUUAUUACCUUUGCUGCAGCUAACAUAAAGGAGACUAGUUCUUGUGCUGACUGAUGCAGGAUUCACAGAGACAGCUUCGGCUGACUUUGUAAACUCGAUCUCAAAUCAAGUAAGACUACCCGCUGAACUUAAGCAUAUCAAUAAGCGGAGGA
rnacentral:misc_RNA from 1 species